rnacentral:rRNA from 1 species
AGAUUGAACGCUGGCGGCAUGCCUUACACAUGCAAGUCGAACGGCAGCACGGGAGCAAUCCUGGUGGCGAGUGGCGAACGGGUGAGUAAUAUAUCGGAACGUGCCCAGUCGUGGGGGAUAACGUAGAGAAAUUUACGCUAAUACCGCAUACGAUCCAAGGAUGAAAGCGGGGGACCUAAGGCCUGCGCGACUGGAGCGGCUGAUAUCAGAUUAGCUUGUGUGAGGUAAAAGCUCACCAAGGCGACGAUCUGCAGCUGGUUUGAGAGAACCACCAGCCACACUGGGACUGAGACACGGCCAGACUCCGUAGGGAGCAGCAGGUGGGUAAUUUGGACAAGUGGGACGAAAGCCUGGAUCCGAGCAAUCGCGCGUGCAGGAGAGCUGGUUGUAAUGUCUUUGACGAGACGAAAGGUCU